GAGAGAGAGAGAGAAAGAGAGCCCUCAUCAGUUCACCAGAGCUGAGCUUAUCUAAUUAAAAAUAGGGAGAAAAAAAUAAUUAACUAAAAAAUUAUAAUAAAAUUUCCGAAAUUUUCCUAAGCUUUCUCGAGAACCAAACAGAUAGUAAAUGAGGAAAGUAAAGCAAACUUAAAAAAAAAAAUGUAAUAAAAAAUACUUAUAAAAAAAACCUCAUUAUCGGCAGCGAAGAAAC
rnacentral:misc_RNA from 1 species